GAGGUCAUUCAAGUGACCCCGGUCUAACCACCGGGAUGUUCAUAACCCUUUGUUGUCCGACUCUGUUGCCUCCGGGGCGACCCUGCCUUCGGGCGGGGGCUCCGGGUGGACACUUCAAACUCUUGCGUAACUUUGCAGUCUGAGUAAACUUAAUUAAUAAAUUAAAACUUUUAACAACGGAUCUCUUGGUUCUGGCAUCGAUGAAGAACGCAGCGAAAUGCGAUAAGUAAUGUGAAUUGCAGAAUUCAGUGAAUCAUCGAAUCUUUGAACGCACAUUGCGCCCCCUGGUAUUCCGGGGGGCAUGCCUGUUCGAGCGUCAUUUCACCACUCAAGCCUCGCUUGGUAUUGGGCAACGCGGUCCGCCGCGUGCCUCAAAUCGACCGGCUGGGUCUUCUGUCCCCUAAGCGUUGUGGAAACUAUUCGCUAAAGGGUGUUCGGGAGGCUACGCCGUAAAACAACCCCAUUUCUAAGGUUGACCUCGGAUCAGGUAGGGAUACCCGCUGAACUUAAGCAUAUCAAUAA
rnacentral:misc_RNA from 1 species